rnacentral:rRNA from 1 species
GACGAACGCUGGCGGCGUGCUUAACACAUGCAAGUCGAACGGAAAGGCCCUGCUUUUGUGGGGUGCUCGAGUGGCGAACGGGUGAGUAACACGUGAGUAACCUGCCCUUGACUUUGGGAUAACUUCAGGAAACUGGGGCUAAUACCGGAUAGGAGCUCCUGCUGCAUGGUGGGGGUUGGAAAGUUUCGGCGGUUGGGGAUGGACUCGCGGCUUAUCAGCUUGUUGGUGGGGUAGUGGCUUACAAAGGCUUUGACGGGUAGCCGGCCUGAGAGGGUGACCGGCCACAUUGGGACUGAGGUACGGACCAGACUCCUACGGGAGGCAGCAGUGGGGAAUAUUGCACAAUGGGCGGAAGCCUGAUGCAGCAACGCCGCGUGCGGGAUGACGGCCUUCGGGUUGUAAACAGCUUUCGCCUGUGACGAAGCGUGAGUGACGGUAAUGGGUAAAGAAGCACCGGCUAACUACGUG